UACGUAGGGCGCAAGCGUUGUCCGGAAUUAUUGGGCGUAAAGAGCUCGUAGGCGGCUUGUCACGUCGAUUGUGAAAGCCCGAGGCUUAACCUGCGGGUCUGCAGUCGAUACGGGCUAGCUAGAGUGUGGUAGGGGAGAUCGGAAUUCCUGGUGUAGCGGUGAAAUGCGCAGAUAUCAGGAGGAACACCGGUGGCGAAGGCGGAUCUCUGGGCCAUUACUGACGCUGAGGAGCGAAAGCGUGGGGAGCGAACGGG
rnacentral:rRNA from 1 species